UACGUAGGUGGCGAGCGUUGUCCGGAUUUACUGGGCGUAAAGGGAGCGUAGGCGGACUUUUAAGUGAGAUGUGAAAUACCCGGGCUCAACUUGGGUGCUGCAUUUCAAACUGGAAGUCUAGAGUGCAGGAGAGGAGAAUGGAAUUCCUAGUGUAGCGGUGAAAUGCGUAGAGAUUAGGAAGAACACCAGUGGCGAAGGCGAUUCUCUGGACUGUAACUGACGCUGAGGCUCGAAAGCGUGGGGGGCAAACAGGAUUAGAUACCCGGGUAGUCCCU
rnacentral:rRNA from 1 species